GAUGAACGCUAGCGGCAGGCUUAAUACAUGCAAGUCGAGGGGCAGCAGGACUGUAGCAAUACAGUUGCUGGCGACCGGCAAACGGGUGCGGAACACGUACGCAACCUACCCAAAACUGGGGGAUAGCCCGGGAAACCCGGAUUAAUACCUCGUAACCUUUUUAAGUGGCAUCACUUGAUAAGUAUAGCUCCGGCGGUUUUGGAUGGGCGUGCGCCUGAUUAGGUAGUUGGUGCGGGUAACGGCCCACCAAGCCUGCGAUCAGUAACUGGUGUGAGAGCACGACCAGUCACACGGGCACUGAGACACGGGCCCGACUCCUACGGGAGGCAGCAGUAAGGAAUAUUGGUCAAUGGACGCAAGUCUGAACCAGCCAUGCCGCGUGAAGGAUGAAGGUCCUCUGGAUUGUAAACUUCUUUUAUGGGGGACGAAACCCGGAUAUUCUUAUCCGAUUGACGGUACCUCAGGAAUAAGCACCGGCUAACUCCGUG
rnacentral:rRNA from 1 species